AGCAGUGCAUUAUUGAAUUAAGCAAAACCAUGGUAUAGACAAUUGCAAGGUUAAUUCCUAGGAGAACACAUCUUGUUGUUAUUCAAUUAUUUUUUCAAUCUCAAGCAAUUGAUUGGGCUUCUGCUGUACAUGACAUCAAACUUUUUAAGCAGGAAUGUGGUGUUCCAGUUCACCCUGACAUUGCUGAUAGUUGUAAUUUCAGUUCACUUUUUAUUGAUGUGUUUAGUUUCGAAGAUAUUCUUUAAACUGCUCGUCUGGUUCAAAAUGAAGACUGUGGCUGUCCUCCUGUUGCUGCUUAUUUGGAUUGGAUACAUCAGGUCUGCGUCUAUGUUGUUCAAUAUCAAGAAUGUAAUGUUACACACACAGUUGCACCAAGACUGGAUCCUGGUUUAUCUGGUAAUAGCAUUUGUAACAGCUAUAUGGAGCUAUUACAAAUAUCCACUUCAUACGUAUAUACGUUAUGUUUCAGUGUUUAAUUACACACACAAAAUAAUCGGUCUUAUGUUAGCUACUUAUUCAGCGAAAAACAAUCCUUCUAUGGCUUUACUUCAAUGUUUUACGAUCAUAUGUGUGUCAUGGAUAUUACUGAGUGCUAUUAGAAUUUUAAAAGUAACAUUUUUAUACAUACUACAGCUGUUUUGCUGUAGUCUGAAAUUUGUUGCAAAAGUUAUACUUUUUGUUAUAUGGAAAUUGAUUAGCUCUGUGUACAUCUUCUUGAAAAGACUGGUGCUUCUU